rnacentral:rRNA from 1 species
UACCGAGGGUGCGAGCGUUGUUCGGAAUUAUUGGGCGUAAAGGGCGCGUAGGCGGUGCGGUAAGUCACCUGUGAAAACUCUGGGCUCAACUCAGAGCCUGCAGGCGAAACUCCCGUGCUGGAGUGUGGGAGAGGUGCGUGGAAUUCCCGGUGUAGCGGUGAAAUGCGUAGAUAUCGGGGGGAACACCUGUGGCGAAAGCGGCGCACUGGACCACAACUGACGCUGAGGCGCGAAAGCUAGGGGAGCAAACAGG